rnacentral:rRNA from 1 species
UACAGAGGUCCCAAGCGUUGUUCGGAUUCACUGGGCGUAAAGGGUGCGUAGGCGGUCGGGUAAGUCUGAUGUGAAAUCUCACAGCUUAACUGUGAAACUGCAUUGGAUACUAUUCAGCUUGAGAGUUGGAGGGGGGACUGGAAUUCUUGGUGUAGCAGUGAAAUGCGUAGAUAUCAAGAGGAACACCAGUGGCGAAGGCGAGUCCCUGGACAACUUCUGACGCUGAGGCACGAAAGCUAGGGGAGCAAACAGG